rnacentral:rRNA from 1 species
AUUGAACGCUGGCGGCAUGCCUUACACAUGCAAGUCGAACGGCAGCGGGCCCUUCGGGGUGCCGGCGAGUGGCGAACGGGUGAGUAAUGCAUCGGAACGUACCCGGGAGAGGGGGAUAACCGGCCGAAAGGCUGGCUAAUACCGCAUGAACUCGGAAGAGCAAAGCGGGGGACCUUCGGGCCUCGCGCUCUCGGAGCGGCCGAUGUCCGAUUAGGCUAGUUGGUGGGGUAAAGGCCCACCAAGGCGACGAUCGGUAGCGGGUCUGAGAGGACGAUCCGCCACGCGGGGACUGGGACACGGCCCAACCCCCUAGGGGAGGCAGGGGUGGGGAAUCUGGGAAAAGGGGCGCAAGCCUGAUCCAGCAAGGCCGGGUGGGGGAAGAAGGCCUUCGGGUUGGAAAGCCCUUUGGGGGGGGAAGAAACGGGUCAGGGAAAUAGUCUGGCCGGAGGACGGUACCCGCAGAAGAAGCACCGGCUAACUACGU